rnacentral:rRNA from 1 species
CCUACGGGUGGCAGCAGUGAGGAAUAUUGGUCAAUGGACGAGAGUCUGAACCAGCCAAGUAGCGUGAAGGAUGACUGCCCUCUGGGUUGUAAACUUCUUUUAUAAAGGAAUAAAACGAGGCACGUGUGCCUUUUUGCAUGUCCUUUAUGAAUAAGGAUCGGCUAACUCCGUGCCAGCAGCCGCGGUAAUACGGAGGAUCCGAGCGUUAUCCGGAUUUAUUGGGUUUAAAGGGAGCGUAGAUGGGUUGUUAAGUCAGUUGGGAAAGUUUGCGGCUCAACCGUAAAAUUGCAAUUGAUACUGGCAGUCUAGAGUACAGUUGAGGUAGGUGGAAUUCGUGGUGUAGCGGUGAAAUGCGUAGAGAUCACGAAGAACCCCGAUUGCGAAGGCAGCUUACUAAACUGUGACUGACAUUGAUGCUCGAAAGUGUGGGUAUCAAACAGGAUUAGAUACCCGGGUAGUC